CUGACAUAAUCUAAAGGGAUGUUGUUUUUUUCAUUUCAGAGAGUAACUAAAAUCCAACACCAAUGUGGAUAUUUACUAGUGUUGUUGAUGGAUUCAGGUCCAAAUCUUGACAUUUUAGUGCAAAGUAUUUUAAUUCUACAUUAGAAGUAGACGUAUAUCGCGUGACCUAGUGGUUGAAUCCCGGCUAUUGCAAUUCAAUUUAGCUAUUGGCUGAUCUGACCUCGAUUGAUUGGCAUCACGGAUGUAUUAACAAACCGAAACUGAACAAACUAGUAAACUCCUUAUAUAUAUAUACAUGUCAAUGGUAAACUCCGGAUACACUCUCGUCCAUGCGGAUGAAAGCAACAACCGCGUGCGCGUGUGUAGUUUAGUCCCGCCUCUCACCUCGUUCACUGGCCAGGACCUGCACGUGUGGUAUCUCAGGCGCGCGACACGCCACGGAAACAAAACAAAACAUGUCGGCGGUGUGGAACUUUUACAACGUGUGUGAGAAAAAUAUAAAAUUUGCCAUCUGCAACGUAUGCAAGAACACGAUACCUCGUGGGGGAAACAAGUUAAAAAAUUUCUGCACAACAAAUCUAAUAAGGCAUUUGAAGACGCGUCACCCGGCGAAGCACAGCGAGUUUCUUAAGAUAUCCGCGGCGAGUGGAAGGAAAAUGAAAGCACAACCAGCAUCCAAAGCAGCACCUAAACACCAGCAUAAACGGACCACAGAUAUCGGGUGCCAGACAGAACCAGACAGCACAAACGAUGCUGCUGGAGAAGUUAACAACAGGAGAAGCAAAGGUGAGGUUCCAAGGACAAGAUCCACACCAGUCAAAAGGACAAGGUCUGAGGUGUCAACUGAUGACUCCAGUCACCAGCCAGAUGUAACCACCAGCACAAACUGUACAAGAGCUGCAGCUUUGUACAAACAGCCUGCAGCACAGAGGUUGAGGAAAACGGGUACAAAGUCCAGCACAGGCUGCACCCCCUAUCUGCUCACACUUGCAUCACCUGUGUAUGUAAUGAAAAGCAGCUUUGUGUCAUGCAUGGAUGAAUAUAUUAUCACCACAUGACAAGUAGGCCUACAGCUUUCAACCUUUGGCAGACCUUCAGACUUCUAGCUCCCUCAGCUACUCCACUGCUGAACCCACAACAUCCACUAGUGACAUAGCUGCAAAAAAUAAGAAAUGGGAAACGAAGAUUUUGCGAUGUGGAUGGUGCCGACAGCCUCAUCCUCCAAAGGAUCCAGAAGGAUUGCUGUUGUGGGUUCAAUGUGAAUGCUGCCACAAAUUGUUUCACACAAUUUGUGUAAGCUCAGAGAUGGACUUGGAUGAAGAUGAAUUUUGGUGUUUUUGGUGCCUUGAUGUUUGAUUUUGUUGUCUGUCAUAGCUCAUAAUAAAUUCAAUGGUUCAACUUGA